ensembl:lncRNA
AUGGUGACAAGGAUCAUGGAGGAGCUCCUCUCCUGCUACAGAGCAGCUGCUGCACCACCCAUUCUGCUGCAGUCUCAUCACUGGUUGCAAAGCUGGACACCAUUCACCCACCAGGCAGCCAGGAAAAUCCCCAGCCGCCGCUUACUGAGGGAAGAACAGACAUCAAUUAGUGAGUGGGAACAUCCUUCCCAUCAUCUGAUGGGGCGUCAUCUGAGAAGAGAAUAAUGCGGAGAGAAGUGCAGGAACAGCAUGUGACAAAUGAGGGAAACAGUUUGUUUAUAGGGUGCAGCAGCAGAAGGGUAAUCUUUUGUGAUGCAGCUUCAAACAGAGGAAGAAAAUCUGUCAGUCUCUGCGAACAAAGAGAAUAUUCUGGAAGCUGCCACGCUCUGUUUGCUGUUGUUAUUUGUCUGUUUUAAAGUGAGUAUUUACCCUUUUUCAUUUUAGUGGAAUGGAGUUGGGCACCGAAGCUGCAUUAUCUCAUCUGUUCCUAUGCAAUGCAGUAACAUCUGGAAGCAAAGGGAUGGAUGUGGCUGACCUGGCAGUGUGAACAGCCCCGUGAUGGGAUGGCAAUUAGCUGCACAUUUGUCAGUGUGGGAUUCAAGAGUGUAAAACUCAGCCGUUGCUUUGGAGCUGACAAUCCUGGGCUGUGCUCAUUGCAACCAGUGGAGUUUAGGACAUGGUUCAGCUGAGAUGACAUGAGAUAAGCUCAGCUGUAGGAUAAGCACUGCCUGCAGGCCCUGGGCUGUUCUCUGUAUUACUGCACAGUGUGGGCCUGCUGGGCAUCUCUUUGCAUGGAAACAGUGUCAGGUUCUGGGGAUCCCCAUCCCACUCUCUUUGCCUCUCUCUUUGCUGUGCUGUACCAUCCUGAUGCUCCAGUUGUGGGGUAUGUGGGGUGUGCAUACCCUGCAGGGUGGCAGAGGUGCUUGAUAAAUCACGGUGGGUCUUUAGAAAGGAGAGAACACUUUUCCUGCCUGCUGCCUUUUAUGCUGUAGGGAGGACUAAAAGCCCAGCAGUGCCAAUACACAGCUUUUAUGGAAUCAGAGAGUCAUAGAAUGGGUUGGACUGGAAGGGACCCAAGGAUCACCAAGUUCCAAAUCCCUUCCAAGCACACAGUUGCCGUCUACGAAGUCAAGCCCCAGCUCAUGUCAACUGCACCACUCAGCCUGGUGUGAUCUGCAAACCUACUAAGGGUACACUCAAUCCUACUGUCUGUGUCAUUGAAAAAGAUGUUAAAGAGUAUUGGUCUCAAGAUGCACUCCUUGUGGGCACUGCUCAAGGCUGGCCUUCACCAGGGCUCAGAGGCACUGACCACAGCCCUCUGGCUGCUACCUUCCAACCAGUUCUUUAUCUACUGAAGAUUUCAGCCUUGAACCCAUGUCUCUCCAGCCUGGAAGUGAGAAUGGGGUGCAAGACCAUGUCAAAGGCUUUACAGAAGUCCAGGUAGAUGACAUCAGCUGUCCCUCCUUUGUCCACCCAUCGCUCCAUCAUAGAAGGACACCAGACUGAUCAGGCACAAUCUGCCCUUAGAGAAUUUGUGCUGGCUGUCUUGUCUCACACAUGGGUUAACUUAGUUUUCAAGAGGAACUGCUCUGAGAUCUUCUCAUGCACAGAAGUGAUAUUCACUGCCCUGUAGUUCCCCAGAAACCAUCCCCAAAGCCUCACAACAGAAAAUCAUCACCACUCUGCUCCUGAUGCACUGCUGUUCACCUAAGGAAGAGAGAAGGGUGUGUGAUGCCAAAGCUGCCUCCUGCCACCUGCUCACCCUAACCCCAGUCCACUGUCCGCAGUCCCCCAGCAGAACAUCACCAUGGAUUCAUUCCCAUCACAACUAAUCCCACAUUUCUGAGAGUAUUUCCUUCGUGUUGAAUGAAAUUUCAGUCUCAUUUUAAACCCCGUUGCCUGGCGGUAGGCUCAGCACCGAAUGGGCUGUGGGAGAAGUUCUCCCAUCCUCUCAUAGAAACACACGUAGAUCAGAAAGCACAGAGGGCUCUUAAUAAUGUCUCUACAUCCAGCCCAUCUCUUCACACUCACUGUUGUUCCAGGAAGACGGCACUUCACAGAAGCUAUAAAAGACACAUCAUCUCUCAGUGACACUCUGGGACAAUGCAGGAUAAAAUUCAAUUAAAUGCAAAAUCCAAAAGAAAGUCCGAUGGAGUUUCAGGUGCUUUUUCAAUUCAUCACUUUUCAAUAUUGUUGAAAUUCCCCAGAACCAAAUAUCCAGAGGUCAUUUCAAAAGCUACAACAAAGAAUGUGCCGGGGUAGUUCUCAUCAGGGACCCUGGCUUGAUUUGUGAUAGAAAGCUCCAUGAGUCUGAAAUUUGGGUCCAGAGGAAAUGUUGUGUUGAAUAAUUACAGCCGCCUGUAUCUUAAUCACAUGUUGUGACUUCACUGGAGCUGAUAUUGCAUCCAAAGUGCAGGCAUGGAUCUAUUCCCCUGGUUUUCCUGGCUCUUCAACGUGUACACUUUGUAUUGAAGGAGCACAAGGAUGGGUGUGAGACAUGUUUUGCUUUAGAAUAAAUCGUUCAGCUUUACUAAUGGAGAUGCUCA